rnacentral:rRNA from 1 species
UUUAAUAGAAGAGUUUGAUCAUGGCUCAGAUUGAACGCUGGCGGCAGGCCUAACACAUGCAAGUCGAGCGGUAGCAGGAAAAUGCUUGCAUUUUUGCUGACGAGCGGCGGACGGGUGAGUAAUGUCUGGGGAUCUGCCCGAGGGCGGGGGAUAACCACUGGAAACGGUGGCUAAUACCGCAU